GGUUCAACCUCCUGUGCCUACUGAGCUGAUAACAGUUGAUGUAUUUAGCACUGGCUCAGUUCAGCAGGAACCGGAGUUAAGCCC
ensembl:miRNA